rnacentral:rRNA from 1 species
AUUGAACGCUGGCGGCAUGCCUUACACAUGCAAGUCGAACGGCAGCGGACCUUCGGGUGCCGGCGAGUGGCGAACGGGUGAGUAAUAUAUCGGAACGUACCUUUCAGUGGGGGAUAACGUAGCGAAAGUUACGCUAAUACCGCAUAUUCUGUGAGCAGGAAAGCAGGGGAUCGCAAGACCUUGCGCUGAUUGAGCGGCCGAUAUCAGAUUAGCUAGUUGGUGAGGUAAAGGCUCACCAAGGCGACGAUCUGUAGCGGGUCUGAGAGGAUGAUCCGCCACACUGGAACUGAGACACGGUCCAGACUCCUACGGGAGGCAGCAGUGGGGAAUUUUGGACAAUGGGCGCAAGCCUGAUCCAGCCAUGCCGCGUGAGUGAAGAAGGCCUCGGUUGUAAG